rnacentral:rRNA from 1 species
AUUGAACGCUGGCGGAAUGCUUUACACAUGCAAGUCGAACGGCAGCACGGACUUCGGUCUGGUGGCGAGUGGCGAACGGGUGAGUAACAUAUCGGAACGUAUCCAAUAAUGGGGGGAUAACUAAUCGAAAGGUUGGCUAAUACCGCAUACGCCUACGGGGAAGCUAGGGACCUUCGGGCCUGGCGUUAAUGGAGCGGCCGAUAUCUGAUUAGCUAGUUGGUGAGGUAAAGGCUCACCAAGGCGACGAUCAGUAGCUGGUCUGAGAGGACGACCAGCCACACUGGAACUGAGACACGGUCCAGACUCCUACGGGAGGCAGCAGUGGGGAAUUUUGGACAAUGGGCGCAAGCCUGAUCCAGCCAUGCCGCGUGAGUGAAGAAGGCCUUCGGG